CACCAGCCCCUGUGUCAAUGCGCCUUUGUGCUCUCCAGCUUCUGAUAAAUACAUCAUCUCUAGACCUGAACGGCAAUUAACCCUCCCCUUUCUCAACCCUAGUGAUCAGAAAACGGGCCGAGGAAGCCAGGCCUGUUCAGCCUGGGGAAGAGAAGGCUGUGUGCCUUCACACCUCACAGCACCUUCCAGGACCUCACAGGGUCCUGCCACGGAGCAGGAGCUGAACCCUCAUCAGGCCACAACACAAUAAGAGGAGGCUCCAGGAGAGGUGUGGAUCACCCACAAGAGGUCUGAAGAGCAACAUGCAUUUUUACUGGAAGUCUGCUAACUAGCCAAAACCUUUGGAACACCAUGACACCAAUCUGGCAAAGUGAUCUCUCUCUCUGCUUUAUUGAAAACAUCUUAGACAGCAUAAUAAAAAAUUGCACUUAAUUUCCAUAA